GUCUCCUGCCCCAUAAGAGGAGGACUUCACAUCGCUCUGAGAGACAAGCUCAUGACUGCUCUGCUGUGUGAGCCUGCCUGUCUCUGUCUUCGUCGUCCGCUCUUCGGUGUGCAUGGCCGGGUGGCCCUUGCUGGAGCCUAGGACCCACUAGAAAUAGAAACUGCAAGCCAU